rnacentral:lncRNA from 10 species
AGGAAGGAAAUAUGGUUAUACUUUCCUUGCUAAGGAAAUCCAACCCUCCACAAGGCAGCUUUCUUCCCAUCCCCUUGACCUUUUAGGAAAAAGGUGAGGCCCCUGGGAAGGCUCUGGGGGAGACCAGAGGAGCUCAAUGUGCCCUGUCUAGGGCAGGGGUAUUUUUAGAGCUGGCUGCACACUGUUUACAAGGAAGCCAGUCCCUUGAGCGUGCCCUCGCCCUACAGGGAAACACUGGCCGCCAGCCCCACCCGCUGGCCCAGGCUCCUGCUGGCCCUCCCUUCCUCCCUCCCUCCCAGCUGUUCCUUUCUUAUCGUCUCUAUCAGCAUGUGGGCUCUAUCAGCAUGUGGGUGUGCUGUCAUUAGCACCCUGAGAGCACAACUGAACAAAACUGUAGCCCAGGGCAUUGAAAACCUCUCGGAGAGGGCCAGGUGUGACCAGGUACUGGGGAAAAAAUAAGAAGCUGCCAUCAGUUGAGAAGAUGGCCCUGGCAACUGGCUAUCAACUGAAAAUCCUGCAAAAGGAUAUUUCUCCUGUGAAGCAGCCCUGUGCCCAUCCUGCUGUGAUUCAGGAGUCUCGCAGAAGACAUCAGAAUGCCUUUCUCUGAGUCACAGUCUGUAUCUUCUAGAAAAGGCUGUCCAUCUUCACCCCAAGCCCACUGGCUCCUGAGAUACGACAUCCAGACCCAGUGCAGCUGGACCUGGCCCAGGAAGAUCAUGCGGUUUCUGGGAAGCACUGGAGAAGGAAAAGGCUGAAGAAAGGAAGACCGGAAAAGAAAUACAAGUCCUUCCGCCUUGGCAAAGAUGAUAGUACCGUUCCCUUCAGUGUUCCGGUUCUGCUCUAUUGGAUAAGUUCCGGUUUGACUAUGACUACGUGAAAAUGUGGAACCAGACCUUCACCCCACAUUCCAGCUCCAGCUCUACCACAGAGGAAGUGCAAUAUCACCUUAGUUAUUCAACACAUUAUGCUCCUCGUGAUACAACCAGAGUUCACAUCAGCAAUCUUGGCAGCUCUCACCACGCUGCUGACUCACGACUCUCUCAUGUCCCAAUUUCCUGUCCAUUGUUCUUUCCUCUACUUGGCCUGAUUUCUAAAGGCCUCUCUUGGUUGCAUUAAGCGGGAUUCCUGAGGGAUUCCCUUGGCAGUUACCUUGGGGGAGCUCUUAGGUUUGGGGCUGAUCCAUGUCCUCUAAAUGUAGGACUUCAAAGCUCCCAAAGAUAGGCAGGCCCAGUGGGAAGCUGGGAAAUGCUCUCUGACCCCUCUGGGAGGGCUGGCAGUCAGAGGGCCUUUUGGAAAGAGUCAGACCUGAUCCAUAAGUCCCUGGAAAACACCCUGCCCAGGGAGCAAAUGCCACUGUGGCCUUGACUGAGGCUUCAGAAGAGUUUGGGAGCUGCAAUUCAUCCACACACGCAUUCAUUUUCAAGUAGUGGUUUGCAGUUCAGGCUUUGGAGCCACAUAAGCCUGGCUUCAAAGCCACUUUCCAGCUUUGUAGGAAGUCUCUACAUUUUUAAACCUCCAUUUUUUUUUCCUGUAAAACUGGGGUCUUCAUGGUACUUAACUUCAUCGUGAUGUUGAGAGAAUGAAAAGAAAAAGGAUAAAUAAAUGGCUUAGCCUCGUGCCUUGGCA